UACGUAGGGAGCAAGCGUUGUUCGGAUUUACUGGGCGUAAAGGGCGCGUAGGCGGCGUGUUAAGUCAGCUGUGAAAUCUCUGAGCUCAACUCAGAACGGCCAGCUGAUACUGAUGUGCUAGAGUGCAGAAGGGGCAACCGGAAUUCUUGGUGUAGCGGUGAAAUGCGUAGAUAUCAAGAGGAACACCUGAGGCGAAGGCGGGUUGCUGGGCUGACACUGACGCUGAGGCGCGAAAGCCAGGGGAGCAAACGGGAUUAGAUACCCCGGUAGUCCUGGCCCUAAACGAUGAAUACUUGGUGUUUGGAUUCUCAAUGAUCCGAGUGCCGUAGCUAACGUGGUAAGUAUUCCGCCUGGGGAGUACGCUCGCAAGAGUGAA
rnacentral:rRNA from 1 species